UGUAGCAUUCUUCUUGUCAGAACCUUUCCCUUGCUUAACCUUCUUUUUGCCUUUAGUACCACCGACAGUCCACUACACAAAGAAAAAUUCCAAUAGUAGUGGUGAGAAAAUACUUAAAUUGAAAUUGACAGUGCCUAAACAGCUAACAAUGACAAGACUCAUUUAUAUAAUUAAACAAGAGAUGCAAA